rnacentral:rRNA from 1 species
GUCUUUUUGAUAUUAAUAUAAAGUCUGACCUGCCCACUGAAAUUUUAAAUGGCCGCAGUAUUCUAACUGUGCAAAGGUAGCAUAAUCAUUAGUUUUUUAAUUAAAAGCUGGAAUGAAGGGUUUGAUGAGAAAAUGACUGUCUCUAUUUAAGUUUAUUAAAAUUUUAUUUUUAAGUUAAAAAGCUUAAAUUUUUUUAAAAGACGAGAAGACCCUAUAGAGUUUAAUAAAAAUUAAAAAUUUAAAUUUUUAUUAUUAUAAAUUUAAAUUUUAAUUUUUAAUUUAUUGGGGUGAUAGAAAAAUUUAAAAAACUUUUUUUAUUUAAAUACAUUAAUUUAUGAAUUAUUGAUCCAUAUAUUUAUGAUUAUAAAAUAAAAUUACCUUAGGGAUAACAGCGUAAUUUUUUUAGAGAGUUCUAAUCGAUAAAAAAGAUUGCGACCUCGAUGUUGGAUUAAAAUUAAUUUUUGGUGUAGAAGCUAAGAAUUUUAGGUCUGUUCGACCUUUAAAAUUU